rnacentral:lncRNA from 1 species
CAAAACAAUGCAUAAGAAGUUUAAAAACACCCUUUGGAAAUCUUGAACAAUAUAAGUAAGUUCUCAAUUAUUCUAAAUACAUCUUAUUAACCUUAUAAAAUCCUAGACAUAUAUUAUCAUAUUCUGAUUAAUUCCAAAUAAAUUAUAAAUAUUCUUUGAUAAGCUUUAGCCAAAUCCUAAUUAAAUUCUAAUACAUUUCUAAUUUAAUUAUAAUUUUUUAUAAAACUUAAAAUAUAUUCUAAAUUAAUAAU